CAGUUAUCCCUGGGGGGGCUGCCGUGCCCUCUCAGGGAGUCGCUCUGCUACAUUAACUCUCAGCUCUGAGCUUCUUCAGUCAGCUGAUUGCUGAGCUGCAGCUCACUGAGCACACUGAUGAUGUCAUCACUCUGAUGUCAUCACUCUCACUGACAGUUUGUCUAAUCUAUAAUUGAAAAAGUUUUUAUUUUGACAGCGUCUCCAAGGCAACGGAGGAGUCAGCUGACCCAUCAGCAAAGAGGAAGAGGGAGGCGGCAGACAGUGACGGCGACGUCCCAGCGACGCCGAGCGGUGAGGACGGGAAGAAAGACAAAAAGAAGAAGAAGAAAGAGAAGAGGGCCAAACUAGAACAGACGGAGGCGGAGCCUUUAGAUACGGGGGCGGAGCCUGCAGAGACAGGGGUGGAGCCAGAGGUUGAAAGUGCAAAGAAGAAAAAGAAGAAGAAGAAACAGAAAGAUGGCGACACGUCGGAGUGAUCAACCAGCCAGUGAACAGGAAACUGGACGCAAAGCAUUCUGGGAGUUUUAUUAUAAUGGACUGCAUGAAUGCAGUGAGAAGACUUUUUUUGUUUUUUAUAUAUAUUUUUUCUGCUGUAAAUACCUAACAGGAAUCCUGUUUGUAAUUUCAAAAUAAAAAUCUGUUUUUCUGUA